rnacentral:rRNA from 1 species
UCUAGAUUUGAUGUGGUGUAGGAAUGUUAAUAGUAAUAGUGAAAUGUAUAUAGAAUUGGUAUAAAAUAAAUUGGAUAUUGGUAGCUUGAAAAGGUAGAUAUUCGAUUCACGAAAGCUUGAGGUGUGACAGGGAUUUGAGACCCCUUUAAUUCGAGACUGAAAUUAUGCAGGCAAUGUUUGUGGAUCUCUUUUUAACAAAUAAAGGUUCUUUUCCUAAGGAGUACGCUUUCACUUGUGAAACUUAAAUGUUCUGGUGGUGGUUUAGAACAAUAGUGGAAUAGAUGAUUUAAUUCGAUGAAAUGCGAUAAAGCUUAUCUGUUAUCUGAAAUAAUACCUAGGUAUAGGUAGAAUUCUAUUCGAGGUAGUGCAUGGCUGUUGGAGGGUAAUGUUUUGUAAUAUCUGGUUUCGGACAGGAAUAGCCGAUACACUUUUAGUUGUUAUAGGUCUUUUGCAUCUUUUCAUGAUGCAUGAUAUGAAUAAUGAAUGUGAUGCAUGAAUAGUAUGGUCUUUUAGAUAGAAUAACGUCGAGUCAUUAUGCUCUUUAGUUCGGAGAUAUUCAUGUGUUACUAGGAGAGGUAUAUAG